rnacentral:tRNA from 1 species
GCUCCUGUCGUUCAAUGGAUAGGACGCAUCCUUGCGGAGGAUGUAAUGUAGGUUCGAUUCCUACCAGGAGCA